UACACUUUCACCCUUAACGCACCCCAGUCGUCACUAGCGCGCGGGCUGUUUGCAAGUGUUUGACCUGAAGUGAAGACGUGAGGUAAAAGACAGAGUGAAUAUUGUGCCCUUCAACGACGACGUCAACUUCUAAAGACUAAGUGUGAGCCCUGUCCUUCAAAAUGGACCAACUUGACGUGGCAACACAGUCAUUUUUGGAAGCUGCAAGUAUUACGGAUGAGAUACUGCCUUUGUUAACACGUGAAGACCUACGGGACCUUCUACCAGGGCCAGACAAUUUUCGCAAGCGAAAGUACAUUUGGGAAGCUGUCCAUUCAGAGGACCUGGGUGACGAAAUAUGCUCAGUGCUGCUGAAGAAGGCAACAUUCAGGACAACCCACCCUCCGAAGAAGCUGUAAAACCAGCUGGGGAUCAGAACAUGCCGAAGACCUGUCUCGCACAAGACAUCACUCCAGAAAAGAUCAUGAAGCUUUGCAGCCCAGAGUAUGUUCUCUAUACAGAUCCAGAACUCGAGCAUGUACGCAAGCACUACUUUGAACUUCAGUGCAGUGGACGAGAACAUGAGUGUAGUAUGUCUAAAGAGUUGCGAUGUCGUUUAGUGAGAAACACAAUUACUUCAAUGAUUUCAAUUCUAAGAGGGCAUGACCUGAAGGACAGAAGAGAUGCAGGAGAGUAUCCGUCCCGUGAAGAGAUCUCUGCCAUGGCAAGGAGGUUAAUUGAAUAUUACCCCAUGCUUCAACAGGCAAAUGCAACAACUAAACCAUGGGAACCUAUCCUGCGACAAAUGCUGAAACGAUUGCAGAAUGUCAAAUCCACCCAGACUUUGAAACUAGCAACUCCUAUGAACAACAAAGCUGUUGUGAAGAAAAGACGACUUCAGUUUCAGCCAUCUGACAAAGAGACAGAGCCUGACACUGUUCCAGUUGAAUCAGAGGAGAUGACUGAUGCACCUGCCACCACUUUUACAGACCUAGACAGUGACAGCACAGAUUGCCAUCAGUCAAGAAAAAUGAUGGCCAGACAUUAUAAAACCCUUCAAGAGUUGUUCAAGCAACAAAAACCAAACAAAGAGGACAUCAGUCAUCUAUUGGAUCUGGAAUACGAGUCUAGGAGGGCUUUCGUAGAAUGUUGUUCAGACAAAGACGAGGAGAGAGCCAAGAAAGUCCUGGAGGCUUAUCCAUGCUUUUCAGACUAUCAACACAUAAAUUAUGGAUGAACUGGGCAGAAUCCUAGAGGCUGAUAAUAAGAAGUAUGUUGACCAGCUUAAAGCGAGAUGGGCGAAGUUCUACCACAGUGCCAUGUUCUUUGGAGUUUGGAGGAAGGUGAUGAAGCCACCAAUGGGGCUUGAUGAAGGUGCACAUGCCAUUGCCUUGUUGGAGGCCCUCCCCAAAAUGUUUCCUUCUCCAACUGCCCCUCCCAAAAAGCUCAAGUCUGCAAAUGAGGCGCUAUACCACAUCCUUAAGCCUUCUGAGGAUCCAAAUAUUUUUUUGGGAAAAAGGCCUCUCAGCUCUCCGGUCCUCAUCAUCGACGGCACCAAUAUGCUUCUGGCAGUUGGCAACAUGCCCCUACUGACCUUACCAAAAGACUGUUUCCCUGAAGCCCUCUUAGUGCUGAUGGGAUGCUACUACACUUUCCAGUAUACAUAUCCAAAAUGUGUUGCAACAUUAUUUUCUAUUCUACAGACAGAGGUGCUCGGUGACUCCAUUCACGAAAGGGACAAAACCCCAUCUUACAAAAAGGCUGUCGCUGAGUGGCGAGAUUUUGCCAAAGUGUAAGCCACGCAAACUUUGUUGUCUUUGUUUUGUUUGGUUGGUUUGUUUCUUUGUUUAGCUACAAAGCUAAAGUUAGGCAAAUUACAUUGGGCUCAAAUUUGCUCUCUCUCUCUCACAUACACACACACCACCAUACAAAUACCAUACAUACACACACACAAAUGUACACACACACUCUCCAUCUCUCUCUGACACACACACAUACAAAUUUGCUCUAAAUC